rnacentral:sRNA from 1 species
GUUUCAAUUCCUCAUAGGCAGGCUAUCGGCUCUGAUACAAGUAUACAUCAACUUAUGUGUAAAUGG